rnacentral:rRNA from 1 species
UACAGAGGGGGCAAGCGUUGUUCGGAAUUACUGGGCGUAAAGGGCGCGUAGGCGCUCGUCUCAAGUCGAACGUGAAAUCCCCGGGCUCAACCCGGGAACUGCGUCCGAUACUGGCAGGCUUGAAUCCGGGAGAGGGAUGCGGAAUUCCAGGUGUAGCGGUGAAAUGCGUAGAUAUCUGGAGGAACACCGGUGGCGAAGGCGGCAUCCUGGACCGGCAUUGACGCUGAGGCGCGAAAGCCAGGGGAGCAAACGGG